rnacentral:snoRNA from 2 species
CAAAGUAACAACAACCAGAUUUAUUGACAUCCCUUGCCGGACUUUUAGUCUCAUGUAUUGGAGGCCACUCUAAUCUGGAAGAAAAACAAAUGAAAGAUUUAUGUUCAGCCCUUUCAUGCCAGUGGUGAAUUGGCCCUACCUUCUUUCUAACAUAU